rnacentral:rRNA from 1 species
UUCCAGCUCCAAUAGCGUAUAUUUAAGUUGUUGCAGUUAAAAAGCUCGUAGUUGGACCUUGGGACGUCACGGUCGGUCCGCCUUCUUGGUGUGCACUGGCCCUCACGUCCCUUCUGCCGGCGGCGUGUUCCUGGCCUUAAUUGGCUGGGUCGCGGUUCCGGCGCCGUUACUUUGAAAAAAUUAGAGUGCUCAAAGCAAGCCUACGCUCUGUAUACAUUAGCAUGGAAUAACGCGAUAGGAGUCUGGUCCUGUUCCGUUGGCCUUCGGGACCGGAGUAAUGAUUAAUAGGGACUGUCGGGGGCAUUCGUAUUUCAUUGUCAGAGGUGAAAUUCUUGGAUUUAUGGAAGACGAACCACUGCGAAAGCAUUUGCCAAGGAUGUUUUCAUUA